rnacentral:misc_RNA from 1 species
GAUGAAGAACGUAGCGAAAUGCGAUAAGUAGUGUGAAUUGCAGAAUUCAGUGAAUCAUCGAAUCUUUGAACGCACAUUGCGCCCCUUGGUAUUCCAUGGGGCAUGCCUGUUCGAGCGUCAUUUGUACCUUCAAGCUCUGCUUGGUGUUGGGUGUUUGUCUCGCCUCUGCGUGUAGACUCGCCUCAAAACAAUUGGCAGCCGGCGUAUUGAUUUCGGAGCGCAGCACAUUUUGCGAUCCAGAUCAACGUACAGCGGCAUCCAAGAAGCCUUAUUUAACGCUCUUGACCUCGGAUCAGGUAGGGAUACCCGCUGAACUUAAGCAUAUCAAUAAGCGGAGGA